UGUACACGCUGUGACUAGCAUAUCAAUAAGCGGAGGAAAAGAAACUAACAAGGAUUCCCCUAGUAACGGCGAGUGAAGCGGGAAGAGCUCAAAUUUGAAAUCUUAAAGGGUUUCCCUUUACGAAUUGUAGUUUAAAGAAGUGUUUUCUGUUGAGGUUUUGGUAAAAGUUCUUUGGAAUAGGACAUCAUAGAGGGUGAGAAUCCCGUAUUUGACCUUUACUUUCAACUUUGUGAUACACUUUCAAAGAGUCGGAUUGUUUGGGAAUGCAGUCCAAAAUGGGUGGUAAGUUUCAUCUAAAGCUAAAUAUUGGCGAGAGACCGAUAGCGAACAAGUACCGUGAGGGAAAGAUGAAAAGAACUUUGAAAAGAGAGUUAAACAGUACGUGAAAUUGUCAAAAGGGAAGCGUUUGACACCAGUGUUGUUUUUCUGAAAAUCAAUUAAAGAACUGUUUAUGCUAAGUUGUUUAGACUUUAUCAGCUAACUGUUUAGUUUUGAGCUUUUCUUUAAUGCACUUUUCAGUUAACAAGUCAACAUCAAUUCUCUUUGCUGUAAAAAAGCUUGAGGAAGGUGGCUUGAGAUUCGUCUUAAGUGUUUAUAGCCUCUUGCCUAUGCAGUCGGAGAGAUCGAGGUCUGCAGCGUAGAUCCUUCGGGGCUAAAUGCAUUUGUGCUAAGUUAUAGCAUUUUAUAGACAACUUCGUUGACUAUGAUUUGUCUUGUAGCUUACUCGCUUAUGUUAUUUUACCUACGCUUAGGAUGUUGAAGAUGUAGCACAUCAU
rnacentral:rRNA from 1 species